rnacentral:lncRNA from 7 species
UGCAGCCCUAAGUGAGAUGACUGACUUAAGAGGAUCACUGGCUAAAAAACCAUCAGAAAUCAAACUUCAGCAGGCAUGAAGAGUACAGUCAGUAUGAAGCAAGCAGUGGCCUCAAGGGAGCAGCAUGAAGGCAAGGCAAGCACACGGUGAUACUUUUCAGAGUCCUCUCCCAGAUUUCAGUGAUCUGCAGCAGAGUGGAGGUCUUGCAGCGUGCUUAGCUUGCUCAAAUCUAAGUGCUCUCGUCAUGGUGCUGUUUGAAAGAACUAAGCUUCCAUCACUUGAAAAAUGGUGUGAACGUGGGGGUCGGGCUGGAUGGAGAACAACAUAUAAGAAAACUCAGAGCAGUGCUGCAAUUCAGUUUAAACCUUGAUUGAAAAAGGCCAUUCAUUUGUAGUCUGCUGAGUUUAAGAAGCAGAAAAAUACAAGGUACUUCAGCUAUAGAGACGAAAAUCUUAUUUGAGCUUUAUAAUUGAGAAGGUUGUGAAAGUAGACACAAUGACAUAUUCCUGACUCUGAUGGGAAACAAACAUACGUGCUUUCUAGACCUAUGUCCAUCCAUUGGGGAGCUAUGAUAGUGCCACCAAAGAUGAGCAGCAGCAUGUUCACCACAGCCUUGCUCCCCAAAAAGGGACAGCAUCCCUCAGAGAACCUCUCCAAAGCAUACACAAGCUGGUGAACUAUGCAGCAUUAUUCAAAACUGCCCCCUUCUAGGAUAGCGGCGAUUAAAGCACACUCUAAAAUGAUUAUAUGGAAGUUGCCCUGCUUUGCCAAGUAAAUGAGCUUUUCUUCUGUACUCACUCUUUGGGGUGAUGUGGGUUUUGUUAGUAAUGAAGAGACAGCACAGGUCAGUGAGCAAACUGAAUUGUCAACUGUCUGCAUGAAACAGAAUUGCACACCGGGGAGACAGAAAAUACCUUCUCAGCCCAGCCCACCUUCUCUGCUGAAUGUGCAAAGGGACUUCAGGAGUGAUGGCAUGGAGGAUGCUCACAGCAAAUAGCUCUUGGGGAAGAGCCAGUGCACCUUGGUUUGUCCAGCAUGUGUGGAACCACUCUGCACUGUGAAAGGGAACGCUUAUUUUUUUUACUUUUAUGUUCUCCAGCAGACAUAAAAAGUGAUUUCCUGAGAUUGGAGCAGUGUAAAAUUUUAACUUAUUUUGUAUAGCUCCACUUUUUUUUUUUUUGCACAGGAAGUUUUUUCCUCCUCUAUAACAUGAUAUGCUUUGGCAAAAGCCAUUUUAUUCUUUUAUCAGCAGUAGCUUGGGAUGGGCAUAAUAUUUACAAACGAUGCCAUGAACAAGUUAUGCAAAUCAUCCAAAUGAGAACCAGUUAGCUUUUAUAUCCUGCCAAACAAUUGUGUAUUGUAGAGCUGCCACAUUUUACAGUCAAUUUGAGAAAUGUUUUAGAGACUUUAAAACAUAGUGCCCUGUUUUUCAUAUUGCUCAACAUAUACAACAGGAUUUGUUAGUACAAGACCAACAAUACAACCUCUGGAAUAGAAAGAAAAAAUUCACCAUAACAGAUUUUAGAAGCCUAAGUGACUUCGAAAAGUUUCUUGGAACUUCAUAACGCUGUCAAUUUUUUACAGAUCUUGUCUCAAAUUUAAAUCCUGUAUGAAUGUAAAGAGGCAAUCUGUGCCUUUCUACUUGUGUAAAAAUACACUUCCCUAGUGCAUGUAAAUGAGCCAUUAUAAAAUAAAUCAGC